rnacentral:lncRNA from 1 species
AUGGAAUCUAUUUUAUUGCAAAUUCCUAAUGAAAAAAAGACUCUUAAGCCAGAAACUAUUUGCCUUUUCUCAGUUACUUGCAACCAUAGUGCCUCCAGGAAAAAAAGAUGGAGAAAUGAAUGUAAAAUUUUAUUCAGGGACAACCGAGUUCUUUGUUUCAAUUUGAAGUCAAAAUUCCACCAGAAAAUUUCUUAUUUUUAUGAAACAGCAAGUUUUAGGACCUUUAUUGUUAAAGUCUUGCAACUGAUAAAAAUUAUCCUCCAAUGCUGUGAUAGCCAAACUCUUUCACCUCUCGUUAGUCUACUGCAAUGA